UUAAAUUGAGAGUUUGAUCCUGGCUCAGGACGAACGCUGGCGGCGUGCCUAACACAUGCAAGUCGAGCGAUGAAACUUCCUUCGGGAAGUGGAUUAGCGGCGGACGGGUGAGUAACACGUGGGUAACCUGCCUCAAAGAGGGGGAUAGCCUCCCGAAAGGGAGAUUAAUACCGCAUAACAUUAUUUUAUGGCAUCAUAAAAUAAUCAAAGGAGCAAUCCGCUUUGAGAUGGACCCGCGGCGCAUUAGCUAGUUGGUGAGGUAACGGCUCACCAAGGCAACGAUGCGUAGCCGACCUGAGAGGGUGAUCGGCCACAUUGGAACUGAGACACGGUCCAGACUCCUACGGGAGGCAGCAGUGGGGAAUAUUGCGCAAUGGGGGAAACCCUGACGCAGCAACGCCGCGUGAGUGAUGAAGGUUUUCGGAUCGUAAAACUCUGUCUUUAGGGACGAUAAUGAC
rnacentral:rRNA from 1 species